UUUUUUUUAGUUUAAAAAAAAUAAUAUAUUUUCAAUAUAUAGUUUAAUAACAAUA
rnacentral:tRNA from 1 species